AUUGAACGCUGGCGGCAGGCCUAACACAUGCAAGUCGAGCGGCAGCGACAUGAUAGAAGCUUCGGUGGAAAUUAUGGGCGGCGAGCGGCGGACGGGUGAGUAAUGCCUGGGAAUAUGCCCUGAUGUGGGGGAUAACCAUUGGAAACGAUGGCUAAUACCGCAUAAUCUCUUCGGAGCAAAGAGGGGGACCUUCGGGCCUCUCGCGUCAGGAUUAGCCCAGGUGGGAUUAGCUAGUUGGUGGGGUAACGGCUCACCAAGGCGACGAUCCCUAGCUGGUCUGAGAGGAUGAUCAGCCACACUGGAACUGAGACACGGUCCAG
rnacentral:rRNA from 1 species